CCUACGGGAGGCAGCAGUGGGGAAUAUUGGACAAUGGGCGAAAGCCUGAUCCAGCCAUGCCGCGUGUGUGAAGAAGGCCUUCGGGUUGUAAAGCACUUUCAGUGGGGAAGAAAGCCUUGGGGCUAAUACCCUCGAGGAAGGACAUCACCCACAGAAGAAGCACCGGCUAACUCCGUGCCAGCAGCCGCGGUAAUACGGAGGGUACGAGCGUUAAUCGGAAUUACUGGGCGUAAAGCGCGCGUAGGCGGUCUGAUAAGCCGGUUGUGAAAGCCCCGGGCUCAACCUGGGAACGGCAUCCGGAACUGUCAGGCUAGAGUGCAGGAGAGGAAGGUAGAAUUCCCGGUGUAGCGGUGAAAUGCGUAGAGAUCGGGAGGAAUACCAGUGGCGAAGGCGGCCUUCUGGACUGACACUGACGCUGAGGUGCGAAAGCGUGGGUAGCAAACAGGAUUAGAUACCCCAGUAGUC
rnacentral:rRNA from 1 species